GUAAGUCAAAGCUUGUGGUAUUUUCAAAUACAGACAGCUGAGGUUAGAUUCUUGGUUAUUUGGUAGUCCAGAUAUGGAGUGGUUCUAUGCCGGGAGAGACGCAGACAUCUAACUAACGAACCUGUUUGGUCACGUCGUAACAGGGCGAUGACGUUGUACGUCAUCAACGUCAGAGACGGAAGUGGUAGCGAAGAAAAAACGUUUGUGGAUAUAAAAGAGCAAGUACAAACGUCUUGUGCUAAAAUACAAAUUGAUCUGUUACAUUAUAAAUAUUUCAAGAAAGAAAAAAUUGUUCGGCUUAAUUUAUAAUUUGGUUUAUACUUUAUACAUGAAGGGAUUUUUUGAUCAGCUCAGAAGAAUGCUGUUGUUUGUGGCAAUGAGGAGAGCGAUUGACCAACAAAGACAAAGAAUUUGGAUCAUUGACAAAGCUGAGGGAAGUUUGUUUAAGCCUUCUGAAUACACCAAAUGACAGCAAUGCUUGCUUUAUUCGAUAACCUAAUUUCCGUGUCCUGUGUGAUCUUGUUCUAGCAGUUUACAAACCAGAAGGAUUUAUUGAUAAGGCUUUUGAUCAUAAUAAAGCACAAUCUUUCUUUUCUUUGAGUAAGUUUGUGUGAUGCAGGUGGAGGACGAGCUGUGUGUUUGUAUAAUUUUAGUCAUCCAAGCUUAACUGUGGUCCUGAUGUUGAAUCUUAUGCCCUUCUGUUGCUUUUCACAGCACGUUAUGGCUGUUCCACAAACUAUUUAUUUGGAUUAUUCCCUUAUCUUAUAAUAAUCAAAUAAUUUCAUCUUGGGUUGCUGUUAAUAAAAAUACUGAAAAAGUGUAUUACUUCUGGUGACCCCCAAUCUGUAAUACAAAUCUGUUUAUUCUAGAAAGUCCCCAAAACCUUGAAACAGUUUUAUUAAAAUACAAUGGAGACUAAUGAGGAAAGAAUAUGUGUGGUAUGUUAAGUCAGUUGCUCUGUGGGAAGGAUUUAUUUCCUCCUGAACUUCGCUGUUAGCACAUGAGGGGUCACAUGUAGUGCAGCCUGAACAGGCAUGAGAUAACAUCAGUGGGAAAACCCACAAUUGUAUCUUGAAU
ensembl:lncRNA